GACGAACGCUGGCGGCGUGCUUAACACAUGCAAGUCGAACGGAAAGGCCCUGCUUUUGUUGGUUGCUCGAUUGGCGAACGGGUGUGUAACACGUGAGUAACCUCCCCUUGACUUUCGGAUAACUUCAGGAAACUGGGGCUAAUACCCGAUAUGAGCUCCUGCUGCAUGGUGGUGGUUUGAAAGUUUCGGCGGUUGGGGAUGGACUCGCGGCUUAUCAGCUUGUUGGUGGGGUAGUGGCUUACCAAGGCUUUGACGGGUAGCCGGCCUGAGAGGGUGACCGGCCACAUUGGGACUGAGAUACGGCCCAGACUCCUACGGGAGGCAGCAGUGGGGAAUAUUGCACAAUGGGCGGAAGCCUGAUGCAGCAACGCCGCGUGCGGGAUGACGGCCUUCGGGUUGUAAACCGCUUUCGCCUGUGACGAAGAGUGAGUGACGGUAAUGGGUAAAGAAGCACCGGCUAACUACGUG
rnacentral:rRNA from 1 species